AACGCACCUUGCGCUCCUUGGUAUUCCGAGGAGCAUGCCUGUUUGAGUGUCAUUAAAUUCUCAACCUUUCGAAGUUUAUUCUUCGCUGGGCUUGGACUUGGGGUUUUUUUGCCGGCCCUAAACGGUCGUCGGCUCCCCUGAAAUGUAUUAGCUGGUCUGCCCCUCUCGCGUCCAUUUGGUGUGAUAGUUUUUUGCGCCGUGGACUGUGGAUGUUUUGGGUGACCGCUUCCAACUGUCUUAAUUGACAACCAUUCUUAAUGACUCUUGACCUCAAAUCAGGUAGGACUACCCGCUGAACUUAA
rnacentral:misc_RNA from 1 species